rnacentral:lncRNA from 1 species
AACUUCCAAGAGGAGCCAACUCGCUCAGUACUACCACCCGCAGCGAGACAACUCCCACGAGGAGCCAACUCCCUCGGGUCUACGAAACCAUAGCGAGAUAACUCCCACGAGGAGACCACUCGCUCCGUCUUAUAACCCGUUGUGAGACAACUCCCACGAGGAGCCAACUCCCUCGGGUCUACGAAACCAUAGCGAGAUAACUCCCACGAGGAGACCACUCGCUCCGUCUUAUAACCCGUUGUGAGAUAACCCCCACGAGGAGCCAACUCCCUCGGGUCUACGAAACCAUAGCGAGAUAACUCCCACGAGGAGACAACUCGCUCGGUCCUACAACCCCUUACAAGGAAACUCCCACGAGGAGCUAACCGCCUCUAGUCUCAAAACUACAGCGAGACAACUCCCAUGAGGAGACAACUCGCUCGGUACCCCAACCCGCAGCGACCCACGAGGAGACAACUCGUUCAGAGCAACCUCAAUUCACACGCUCCUAAAUCGCACAUCAUCCAAUGCUCCUACAACUCACCGCGAGACAACUCCCAUGAGGAGACAACUCGCCCGAAAUUCACUGUAUAAUCGCAAGCUCAAGUUAGCACGAUUACAACCCUAGAAACACUUAGAGAUAUUAUGAGAAUCCAUAUAGCCUGGCCAGCUCGAUUACUCAAAUUUAUCUACUUGUUUUCGAUGGGUCCUUCAUUAAAACGUGGCCACGGUCCAAACAUACUUACGACCCACGAGGUCUAACAAGGGGCACGAUCCCCAUAAAAAAAAAAAAAAAAAAAUCUUGAGAGCCUGAUCCCCUCUUCAAGUACGUCACGCACAAGGCUAUAUGUAAACACAUACAAGCAACGCGUCAAAACAUUGACAAUGUCGAUAAAAAACAACUCCCACGAGGAGAAUACUAGCUCCGUGCUACUUCAUUAUCGCGAGACAACUCCCACGAGGAGAUAACUCGAUCAAUUCUAUUACCCCAGAGACAACUCCCACGAGGAGAUUAAUUGAUCCGGGCUACUACAUUAUCGCGAGACAACUCCCACGAGGAGAUAACUCGAUCAAUUCUAUUACCCCAGAGACAACUCCCACGAGGAGAUAAAUUGAUCCGUGCUACUACAUUAUCGUGAGACAACUCCCACGAGGAGAUAACUCGAUCAACACUAUUACCCCGCGACGAGACAACUCCCACGAGGAGAUAGUUCGCUACUACAUCGUCGCGGGACAAAACCGACGACUCAAUUAACUUAUAUCGCGGCAACUUUGUCGCGCUAUGCGCCAACGCGCAUUCAC